rnacentral:lncRNA from 1 species
UUAGGCCACAUAAAAUAAAGUCCUUGAUUCUCAUCACCGCCCGACUGUAUUUUAAGAGCCGCGUGAAAUUUUUUUAUAUUUUGUUAUACAAUAUAAAUGUACCGCGCGACAAAAUAUUUCAAGGCAGUUAAGUUUUUUAUAUUUUAUUUUGGGUUUUUAGUGCCAUUUUAAACUGCCAAUUUCAAACAAAUAGAACCUUGAAAGAAAUUUCAUUGCAUUUUAAUGGAACUUCGCAUUCAGUUCAAGGGCCAGUCAUUGUUCGUGG